AGUCCUGCCCUAGUUCUAGAUAUGAAGAAAGAGGGAGGAUACAGAGAACUAUAGUGAGUAAGGGGAGGGUCGAAGUGUCAGAGAGGAAGAAAGUGUGCCUGAAAAGGCUGUCACUCCCUGCCCGUUGAGGCUGUUGCGGUUAGACAGCUGGAGAAACAGCCACAUGCAGGGGGAGAACUUCCUGCUUCCUCCCAAGCCAAUAAUUCAGUUAGUACCGCCCUGUAAAAGAGACAGGCCACACAUUUCCCUUCUCCUCACUAACAUAAAAGCAUGGCAAAUGACCAUACAGCUACUUUGUUUGUCUAUGUUAAUGUGAGUUGAUCGUUUUGGCAACUAUGGCAGUUCUUUACCUACCAAUGCUUUAAUGAAAAUCCUCUAAAUUGGUUACCUAUUUUGGCUAUGUGCUUGUCUCUGCAGGUUUGACUUCACCCAUAAGAAGCAGUCUGGUGGUUCUGGGCAGUACGGUAAAGUGAUAGGAGUUCUUGAACCUCUGGACCAAGAAAACUACACAAAAGUAGAGUUUGAAGACCAGUCUGUUGGAACCAACAUCCCCAAACAGUUUGUGCCGGCUGUUGAGAAGGUGUGCAUGCCUGGCUGUAGUCUGAAUCACAUAGGCCCUUCAUGAUUCAGAAAGGCCCUCUUGACUGGUCACAAGAUCUCAGGCGUCAAGGUCCUAUUGGAAGACGGAGCGCAUCACAUGGUGGACUCGAAUGAGAUCUCCAUCCGUGCAGGGGGGGGGGGCACUCUUAAACAAGGUGGGUGUCAACUAACCAGAAUACACCCCCAUUGUUCUCGCAUAUUUUUCCCUCUAUACCUUUUCUGUGCUUCUCAGCUUUUUGACAAACCAACUGAAUGUCUCCUCUCUCCUUCCAUCCAUGUCCCCCUCUUGGUAGCCAUGGAGAAGGCCAACGUUGCCGUGCUGGAGCCAAUCAUGUCAGUAGAAAUUGUGGCGCCCGAUGAGUUCCAAGGGACAGUCAUCGCCGGGGUCAACCGUCGCCAUGGGGUUAUCAGUGGGCAGGAUGGGGCGGAGGGCUACUUUACGCUGUGUGCUAAUGACAAUGGCCCAACACACCUCCAGGCAAUUUAAGGGCUAUUUGACCAAGGAGAGUGAUGGUGUGCCGCAUCAGAUGACCUGGCCUCCACAAUCACCCGACCUCAACCCAAUUGAGAUGGUUUGGGAUGAGUUGGACCACAGAGUAAACGAAAAGCAGCCUUCAAGUGCUCAGCAUAUGUGGGAACUCCUUCAAGACUGGUGGAGAAGCAUUCCAGGUGAAGCUGGUUGAGAGAAUGCUUAGUGUGUGCAAAGCUGUCAAAGCAAAGGGUGGCUACUUUAAAGAAUCUGAUACUUUACACUUUUUUUAUUACUACAUGAUUCCAUGUGUUAUUUCAUAGUUUUGUCUUCACUAUUAUUCUACAAUGUAGAAAAUAGUAAAACAUAAAGAAAAACCAUUGAAUGAGUAGGUGUGUCCAUACUUUUGACUGGUAUGUAUGUGUGUAUGUAUAAAGAAAAUGGGGAAUUUGAAAUGAUGCAGACAAUUACAUAGAUUGUAGCUUUCAUCAAUCUGCAGUAUUAAAGCUUGUCUACCCCCUUAAAAAAUAACAUUACAGUACUGCAAUGGAAUGCUUGACAGAUGCACACAAACCUACACAGUGCUCAAUCAACUGUAAACAUACUCUGCCUCGCCAAGGGCUCCUGAGUGGCGCAGCGGUCUAAGGCGUCACUACAGACCCUGGUUCGAUUCCAGGCUGUAUCACAACCCAGCCACGAUUGGGAGUCCAAUAGGGUGGCGCACAAUUGGCCCAGCGUCAUCCGGUUUAGGGUUUGGCCAUCAUCGUAAAUAAGAAUUUGUUCUUAACUUGCCUAGUUAAAUAAACGUGAUAUUAAAAUAAGGUGGGUUUAUUAUAUCCUAUGUGCAUCCAAAAUGCUACAAAUGAUCAGAGAUGACCAAGUGAAUUCCCUUGAUUCACCCCCUUGUUCCCCCCCACACUGUCCUAAAGUAUUUAUUAUGACUAUUUCCAUUCAGCCUUUGCUCUCCAGCAAACAGCCUUGUCCCACAGCCUAGCAGUUUUUAUUAAGUUUGGACUUCAACUUGGGCAUGUAUAUUAACUGGUUUUGUACUAUGUACAGCAUAUGUUGUAAUGAUGAUUAAAUAAGAUUGACCUAAUACUACCAUUUCACCAGGGUGUCAUUGUUCCUUCAUUCUGGCUGUUCCACUGGAUGCGGUCCUUCUGUAGCUCAGUUGGUAGAGCAUGGCGCAUGUAACGCCAGGGUAGUGGGUUCGAUUCCCGGGACCACCCAUACGUAGAAUGUAUGCACACAUGACUGUAAGUCGCUUUGGAUAAAAGCGUCUGCUAAAUGGCAUAUAUUAUUAUAUUAUGUCAUAAGGUGAAUGCACCAAUUUGUAAGUCGCUCUGGAUAAGAGCGUCUGCUAAAUGACUUAAAUGUAAAUGUAAAUUUACUUAGCAGAUGGUUAUGUGGUUGAUGUGUUCAUUUUAGGUUGCCUGAAUUUGAUCUAAUCUGGAUUCGACUGGAAAACACAACUCGGGUUGUGAAAUACUAUCCAAUGUGCAUCGAGUCUAUGCUGAUGUGCUUCCUCUCGGAAUAGAGGAUUCUAGGGAUUUGU